rnacentral:rRNA from 2 species
CAACUUUCAACAACGGAUCUCUUGGUUCUCCCAUCGAUGAAGAACGCAGCGAAAUGCGAUAAGUAAUGUGAAUUGCAGAAUCCAGUGAAUCAUCGAAUCUUUGAACGCACCUUGCGCCCUUCGGUAUUCCGAAGGGCAUGCCUGUUUGAGUGUCAUUU